rnacentral:lncRNA from 1 species
AUGAACUCACUCUUCUCUCUCCUUCACAGAAACAGAAGAGGCAACUAUGAAAAGCAGACUAGGAUGGCAUUGCCUCAGGUGGAAAACUGGCUGGGGUUGCUCCAGGCCACAGAUCAGGUCCACAUCUGCUCCACAUCUCUCCAUGAACCAGUGGCUACCACAAGCAUGUCCUUCUCAUGGAAACUCACAAGAGCAGAAAAGGCUACAACCUCUGCAUUAAGAGCACUGAUGAGGCACAAGGAAACAAGAUGGAUGGUUUAGAACUGGUCACGAGAAGAGAGGAGAAGAGAAGAGAAGAGAAGAGAAGAGAAGAGAAGAGAAGAGUGGACAAAAAUGGAAGUGGAGGAAAGUGAGGCAGAUGCUCUCUCCAGCUGGCAAAGAGAUUUUAGAAAAUGGGCUCUAAUUUAGACAGCGCAAAGGCAGGCCUUGCCUUUCGCUAUAAAAUCAAGGCCAUCAUCUGAGAGUCACAUCAAUUGAAGUUGGUCCCUCUUGAAAUACAGACCUUGUGCAGGCUAUUUUUUAUAUAAAUAUUUUUAAUUAAUAGAUGGCUUCAUCAAACAUGAGAAGGAUUAAGCAUUAACACUCACCAGAGACCCUGAAAUUAGAUUGAUUAUCUGCAUCUUAAUUUGCUUUUUUGACACCACUAAUUUAUUUUUAAUAGGUCUGUAAUUUAGCUUUAUCUAUUUCUUAUUCUGCUUGGCAGACUUAAAUGUUUGCAGCUCACCAGUCAGUCUCUGUAACCUUUAGGCACUUCUGUCUGCACAGUGUAUUAAUUUUUAAAUUAUCCAGCCCAGUGUGAGGAAGAAUAUCAAUUAAUUUCCAUAUGGGAGCCAGGCCCAAACCCAUCCUCUUCCAGUAGCAGUGAAAUUUAAAUGAAGGGGAAGGCCAGUUGUAGGGGGAACCUAGAUAAAAACAGUAAAUUCUCACUCCUGUGUUACAGAAUCUGUCACCCUUGAAAUAUUUUCCACUUGAAUCAGUGGCAUUGGCAUUAUUAUUGCAGUGAAAAUAAAUGCUCCUCUGUUGGCA